rnacentral:rRNA from 1 species
CCUACGGGAGGCAGCAGUGAGGAAUAUUGGUCAAUGGUCGGGAGACUGAACCAGCCAAGCCGCGUGAGGGAGGAAGGUACAGAGUAUCGUAAACCUCUUUUGUCAGGGAACAAAGGCGGGGACGUGUCCCCGGAUGAGUGUACCUGAAGAAAAAGCAUCGGCUAACUCCGUGCCAGCAGCCGCGGUAAUACGGAGGAGGCGAGCGUUAUCCGGAUUUAUUGGGUUAAAAGGGUGCGCAGGCGUUCUGUUAAGUGAGAGGUAAAAGCCAGGGGCCCAACCCCGCCCCGCCGUUGAAACUGGCGGACUUGAGUUGGAGAGAGGUAUGCGGAAUGCGCGGUGUAGCGGUGAAAUGCGUAGAUAUCGCGCAGAACUCCGAUUGCGAAGGCAGCAUGCCGGCUCCACACUGACGCUGAGGCACGAAAGCGUGGGUAUCGAACAGGAUUAGAUACCCCUGUAGUC